rnacentral:tRNA from 1 species
AGCAGUGUGGCUUAGUGGAAAGAGGCUGGGCUUGGGAGUCAGAGGUCAUGAGUUCAAAUCCCAGCUCUGCCA